UACGAAGGGGGCUAGCGUUGCUCGGAAUCACUGGGCGUAAAGCGCACGUAGGCGGAUCUUUAAGUCAGGGGUGAAAUCCCGGAGCUCAACUCCGGAACUGCCUUUGAUACUGGGGAUCUUGAGUCCGGAAGAGGUGAGUGGAACUGCGAGUGUAGAGGUGAAAUUCGUAGAUAUUCGCAAGAACACCAGUGGCGAAGGCGGCUCACUGGUCCGGUACUGACGCUGAGGUGCGAAAGCGUGGGGGGCAAACAGG
rnacentral:rRNA from 1 species